CAACAUCCAUUCUUUAUCAAAGCCUUUAAGUAAGAUUUUCGGAAACGUUGAAGGAUAAAAUGAGUAUGUGGGAACAUAUAAAGAAGGAUUUCCAAUCGGGAGAUCCAGAAAUCAUGAACUGGGCUCUAAUUAAGCCAGCUUAUCUGCCAUUCCUCAUGUCCACUUCGUAUCUGUUAUUUGUGUAUUUUCUGGGGCCACAUCUCAUGAAUAACAGGCGGCCAUUCAAAUUACGCAAACUGAUGGUUCUUUACAACUUGGCACUAGUACUCGCCUAUGCUAGAUGUGCGAUUAAAGCAACUUAUUUAUUUGUCACGACGGAUAUCUCAGAGUAUUUCUGCAAUAAUGCAUCCGUCUUGCAAAGUCCAUCAAUAUACGAGGUGGCCGUAAUAUCAUGGUAUAUUUACCUGCCUAAAAUAUGUGGAAUAUCUUGAUACGAUAUUUUUUGUCUUAAGAAAAAAAGUAUCACCAGAUCACAAUCCCUCACGUCUUCCAUCAUACACUUCUGCCAAUAUGCGGUUGGACGAUAUUCAGAACUGAAAAAGGUUUAUUUCAACUGACGAUUGGCAUCCUCAAUGGUGUGGUGCACGUCGUAAUGUACACCUAUUGCGGGCUAGCAGCGGCUGGGAUAAAGCAAGAGUAUUUGUGGUGGAAAAAGUACAUAACCCGACUGCAAAUGGCACAAUUCAUAGUGGUCAUCAUCCUGCAAAUAUAUGCGACACACAUGGGCUGUUAUUCAUCUUUUAUAAGUUUCUACAUGGUUACAUUCUUGUGCAUGUCAUUUUUCAUACUUUUUGGAAAUUUUUACAUACAGACCUACAACUUGAGCUGUAAAAAUGGACCGAGAAGAAGUAUUUUUCACAUUGAUUAAGAGUAAUAAAACGUAACGGAUCCAUAAUAAUAUCUUUUCAGUUUUCAUCUAGAAAGAAAGAGACGUAGAUGGAUGCAAAGAAUAAAAUCGAUAUGAAAGUGAAAUUUCUGAUGUAAAUAAAGGAGUUUAUUUUUCUAU